CCUACGGGUGGCAGCAGUGAGGAAUAUUGGUCAAUGGGCGCAAGCCUGAACCAGCCAAGUCGCGUGAGGGAUGACGGUCCUAUGGAUUGUAACCCUCUUUUGUCGGGGAGCAAGGCCCGCCACGUGUGGCGGGUAGGAGAGUACCCGCUGAAAAAGCAUCGGCUAACUCCGUGCCAGCAGCCGCGGUAAGACGGAGGAUGCGAAGGUUAUCCGGCUUUAUUGGGUUACAAGGGUGCGUAGGCGGAAGGUUAAGUCAGCGGUCAAAUGUCGGUCCUCAAAACCGGCCUGCCGUUGAAACUGGUCUUCUUGAGUGAGCGAGAGGUAUGCGGAAUGCGUGGUGUAGCGGUGAAAUGCGUAGAGAUCAGGCAGAACACCAGUUGCGAAGGCAGCUUACCGAACGAUAACUGACGUUGAGGCGCGAAAGCGUGGGUAGCAAACAGGAUUAGAUACCCCUGUAGUC
rnacentral:rRNA from 1 species